AGCUGAUGUAAAUUACUGAGCCUGGAGGCUGGCCAUCCAACCAUUCCAUGAUUCCUGAUUGUACAUCACGGGAUACAUAUUGUACCCGGUUCAGAAUUGGUCCUACUGGGUAGAUUUCUGGAGAGGAUUCCGAUAGGUUGAAAGAAUCGACUGCAUAUGGUUCUAGUUCAGUGAAUGUGUUGAUCAGGAUUCCCUUGGCCUUUCUGUAUCCGCGAGCACAUGGUAGGAAUCUAUGCAUCCAGAGAGGUUUGUCCACUAAGACGAUAGGCAAGACUGAUGGUGGAAUAGGAUUGGCAAAACUUGGGAAUGACAGGGCAGAUUUUGAAUCUGAGAACUCGGAGACGUCCUGGUUGUGAUCAUCUUGAAGGCUUUGAAAAUGGAGCAUGAGGCCGAGAAAUGCUGCACCUGACGUGAAGAAAACAUAGCUAGGAAUCCCAAAUUCAUCAGCUACAUCAAUAAUGCUGGUAGAAAACAUGUCGACAACUACUCCAACAAGUUUUGAACUGCUUGAUUCGUCAGUUUGGCGCUGUUGGAUGAAUUUCUUGACAUGAGGUUUCAGACUAUCCAUUUGCUUCUGGAUGAAAUACCCUCGGCUGAGGGAACUCCAUUCAGGGGUGGGAUCUGUCGGAGGAAGCUGAACGAAUUGAAGGGCUUCUGUGGUGGAGGAAGCAACAAGAGAGUCUAUCAGUUUAUUGGUGAUAGGAUCAAGGGAAGCAGGGAGCCUGGAGAUUAGGACUGUGAUGGAAAACUUCUUGUCUCGAUUGAUUAGUAGCUUGGCGAGCUCCACCAGCUGAGCCAAAUGGCCCAUCAGUGGCCAGGGGAUGAAAAUCAAUUCUGCUUUCUCCAUGUCAACUGCUGAAGCAGAACAGCUCUUCUGUGUUUUUUUUUUUUGUUUUUUUGGUUUUUGGUUUUAUGGCUCUCUUAUUCUUGCAUACAAUCUGUGUUUUAUAACCAAUCUUGGCUACUGAGAUGGACGCUAUAAAUUGCUGUAGGAUUCUUUCAGAAACGUGCACGAUUUUGUUUUCUCUAGGUAGAAUCGUAAUCCUCUUGCGAAAAAGGCAGGAGACAGUACCAUGGCCAACCUUCUUUAAAGUCUUGUCAAAUUAGUAAGGAAUUAAUUCUGGAUGCCAAUUUUUCUGUUUUUGUUUUUUCCUUCUAAAUUGGAAGAGGGUUGUCAUUUUGCAUGUCAUGCACAGCUAUAUUGGGAGUUGAAACAAGCUACAUCACCUAAGAUUCCCCAUAGCUCUUAGGAAUAUUAGUCAGAUGAUUAUGAAAUUUGUGAGUUGAAACAAGUUACACCACCGAUUUUUCUGUUUUUGUUUUUUCCUUCUAAAUUGGAAGAGGGUUGUCAUUUUGCAUGUUAUGCACAGCUAUAUUGAGAGUUGAAACAAGUUACACCGUCUAAGAUCCCCGCAGCUUUUAGGAAUAUUAGUCAGAUGAUUAUGAAAUUUGUGAGUUGAAACAAGUUACACUGUCUAAGAUCCUCCCGCAACUCUUAUGAAUAUUAGUCAGAUGAUCAUAAAAUUCACAAAUUUCUUGAUUUAUAUAACUUGAUUCUUAUACUCUCCUACUUUCUUCCAUGCAUAAAGUUUGGAGUCUCCAUUUAAAUAAAAAUAAAGAAAUCCCUUUUUCAAAUGUUUUCUUCACAUUUUGGUCUCCUAGUCAACUUUGUGAUUUGAAUAGAGACAUUAAUCAAGAGAAACGUUUGACCCUGUCCGCUGAAUGGGAGACACUCCCUUAUAUUUCGUACACUCAAAGUCAAUAGUUCAAUCCCUUCUUAUCUUUUUGGGUAAGAAACCCCUCCGUAUUCUAGCAGAUGUUUUGAUUUGUCAUGAGACGACAGAUUGGCCUUGGUACUCCUUUUUAGACUAUUCUUUACUUUCAAUUCGAGAAUCAUAGGCAUGAGAACUUCUUGUCCGGGUUGAUCAGUUGAUUAGCAACUUGGCAAGCUCUUCUAGUUGACCCAACUGGCUGAUAAACCAAUUCUGCUUUCUCCAUGUCGACUGAUGGAACAGAAUAGAGCUGCUCUGUUUUGUUUUCUGGGGAUUUAAAAGUUGACUGUCUACUUCUUUGAAAGAGCCGUGUUUUGCAACCAAAAUCCUGGGUAUAGACGCAACCCAGGCAAUGGAUGAUCCUUAACAUUUUUUUUAGCUACAAAAAUUGUGUGUACAAAUAGUAGAGUUACCUUUUCUUUAUCAAAUUGGCAUUUAGGAUACUGCCAUAAAUCGUUUAUGCCUUGUCUCGAUAUGAUGUUAACAUCUCUAGUCAAAUGCACGACAGCCAGCAACAGAAUUUAAUUGUGGUGACCAAUUUUUCUCACUUGUUCUUUCUGUCUCGUUUAAAACGUGGCUGUCCUUCUGUCUUCUACAUACUGCUUGAUUGAUGUCUCGUUCAACUGUUUUUUUUUUAAUCUCAACAAGACAAAUUAUAAUCCAAAAGAAAAAACAAAACAAGAGAGAGGGAACUCUCAACUAGACAACAUUGUUGUCACCCUCCCUUAAUCUCAUUUUUAUUUGACUAACAACACUUGUGAUGAUAUGCUUGCUAGGAGAAUUGCAUAACCUUGUCCCAGAUAAAGGAGACAAUUAUCUAUACUUUAAGAAUACAAAUUCAGUAAUUCCACGAGCAUAUACUUCCUCCGUUCAACUUUAAUAGUCUUGGUUUUUUCCCACAUGAUUUAAGAAAAAUUAGUUAAUUUUGUUAGAAAUGUAAAUCUAAUCUCUUAUUUUUCUAGAAUACCCUUACAUUAUCACUAAUCGCUACUCCCUCCGUCCCACUUUGAUAGUCCUAUUUUCCUUUUUUGUCUGUCCCAAAUUGCAGUCCACUUUCCAAUUGAAGAAUGUAGUUGUAUUUUCAUUUUCCUAAAAUACCCUUAUUCAAUACAAGUUGUUGUUGCUAUAAACCUACCCCAUUUAAUGAGAGUUGAUUCUUUUUUUACCAUUAAUUCAAGUUCCCAUAAAGUUGUACUCUAUUUAAUGUGAGGGUAUUUUAGGAAAAUAGCAAUCUAAAUUUACUUUUCCAACAAAGUUAACUACUUUUUCUUAAACUGUGUAAAAAAAGAAACAGGACUAUCAAAGUGGGACGGAGGGAGUAUAUCUUUAUACUAAUUAUAAUAAUAACAAUGAUGGUAUAUUGCACCGUUCAAAACAUAUAUCAAAGCAAUUAUUGAUGGAAAAGUUGACUGUAUUAAAUAAGAUAUGAUAUAUUAAAGAAGUUAAAUAAGGGUAUUUUAAAAAAAUUAAAAGUUAACUUAUAUAUUUUAAUUAGAAUGUGGACUAUAAUUUAGAACGGAUAAAAAAAAAACACAAAGCUAGCGAAAUGGUACAGAGGGAGUAUUGCUUGUAGUUAGAUGUUUGGGUCUGUCAAUAAGAUUUUGUAUUUAGUCAAUUAUUCUUUAGUUUCAAACAUCUAACUAGAAGAUAAGGCAACCAUACCAUGAGAUCAAAUCCUCAGUCGGUCCCAACAAUACACGUCCGAUCCAUCUUUAAGUGAGAUUUCCACCUUGUCAACAAUAAUUCACAUAAGAAUAGGUUUAUUUCCAUUUUAUAAUUAUUAUCAGCUAAAAAAGUACGAGGAAAUCUUACCUACAUUGCUAGCGUAUACAUUAUCACGGUUAGACGAAUGACAUAUGAGCAAAUUUAAUGAAAAUAUAUAUUUUAUAUAUUUAAUGAUGAUAAUAUAUACAUUGUCUAUGGAUUGACAGGACUAUCCAACACGAACAGUACAUGGCACGGACUCUUCGUCUGCCUUCCUUCCAUUAUGCAAAUUGCGUGUGCAAAAAAUUGAAUCGGCUUUCUCAGUCUACACGGUUUACAUUCACAGGCCAAAACCCAAAAAAUUACUUUUUCCGUUGCUUCGUCCUGAACUUAGUCAACGGAGACAAAAAAAAAAAAAAAUGGACUUGAAACCAGAAUAUUUUGUUUUAUCAAAACAACUGGAAGAGUUUUUGUCUUAGAGGUAAAAGCAAUCUUUUAACUAAUUUUUUCAAUAAGAAUUGAAUCAUUUUUUGAUAUUAAACGGAAUUAAUUAAUAUUUCAUAGUUAUAAAUUUAUUAAAGAAUUUUUAUCUUACAUGGAUGACAUUUUAUCAAAUUAUUUAUUAUGGAUGAAAUAUUUAUUCAUUGUGUAUUCAUGGAAAUAUGAAUCUCAUAAUUGCAACAUGCAUAUUAGUAGCAUCUCGUAGUACUUGUUGCAGCCCAAUAGAAUUAGGACAGCAUAUUUAUGAAUCCUAGAAAUUGAUCAGGAAGAAAUUAGUACAACAAAGAAAAUUUCUGUCAAUGCUUCUUCCCUUUGUAUCUGAGUAAUUUUGAAGCAGGCCUAAGGGAGAUGGGUCGUCACAGUUGGAAUCAGAGUCUAAGUUUGAAAUGACCUAAUUAUAAAUUUCAGUUUCAUCAUGGAGGGUGAUUUUGGAUGUUAUUUUCCAAUUGUGGAUUUUAUCUCCUAAUAUUUUUUUAUAAAAUCUGGACUUAUAACAAAAAAAUGGAGUAUCCAUUUAUCAGGAAAAAAAAAGAAGGUUUUGCUGGGCGUCAAAUCAUUCAAUUAUGCAAGAUUACAAAUAUAAUCUUCCAUGCCCAACAGCCAAUUAUUUCGUGAGAAAGAAAAGAAGAAGAAAUAAUAUGAAAGAGAGGAAAUGCUCUUAAGAAACUCUCACAAAGCCAAGAGUUGUUUCCAUCCGUUUUGCCAUGAGCAAUCAUUGUACACGGGUUCCUCAAAAGGUACACAAGUUCCACACCAAUUUGAUGUUAAUUGAUCUCAAUUGACUUUGGCUUCUUCAUGUUUAGUUAAUCAAUUAGUUUUCCACCGUUUCAUUAGGCAUCAGAUUGUCAAAUCCAAGAUGAGCAAUGUUCAAGCUGCUGCACAUUACCGAGACAGAGAGAAUCACGAGUUGAAACUACUGUAUUUGCCUUUUCCAAUUUCCAGAGUCUAGGCUUAGUACCACAGAUGAUGAUAUAUCCAUUGAUGAUGGUGCAAAGGCUACAUCGGAUAGAUUUCAGUAUGUUGUUUCCAACUGAGAUAGCUAAUGAUACUAAGAACGUGAUAAAACAACAUACCUCAAAUUUUACUAAUAACUAAUCAACUAUUGUGCAACAUCUUACUGAUCAGGCUUUCAAGAGAUUCAUAUGAUGAACCUCCUUGUUUCAUGCUUCUCCUACUUUUAUCACUGAAUUCUUUGACUUUCUUCCUCACUUCACUAUCACUUUCCAUCACCUUCCUUAUUCCUGUUUCUAUCUGCUCAGCUGUAACCAAAGCCUGAUUUUUGUCCAUUGAUGAAUAAUCCAAUGUUAUUUCCACAGACAAUUCCAGCUCCACCACCAAUUGAAAUGCAUUCAACUGUUGUUCUGACUCUAAAGGCCAUGUUGCCAGGGGCACCCCACACCAGAUGCUCUCCAAUGUCGAAUUCCAGCCACAGUGUGAUAUAAAUCCUCCCACUGCAGCAUGUGACAGUACAGCUAACUGUGGAACCCAACCGACCACUUUUCCAACGUUUGCUGUUCGAUCCAGAAAUCCGUCAGGCAAGACAUCUCUGUAAUUCUCAUACUCACUUGGGAAAUCAACAAUGGUGUUCUUAGGAGGGGGAUGACGCAGGCACCAUAAGAAUCUGUAUCCACUGCGUUCAAGCCCAUUUGCUAGUUCUUUCACUUGGUCGAUCUGUAGGCUUCCCAGGCUGCCAAAGCUGAUGUAAAUUACUGAGCCUGGAGGCUGGCCAUCCAACCAUUCCAUGAUUCCUGAUUGUACAUCAUGGGAUACGUAUUGUACCCGGUUCAGAAUUGGUCCUACUGGGUAGAUUUCUGGAGAGGAUUCUGAUAGAUUGAAAGAAUCGACUGCAUAUGGUUCUAGCUCAGUGAAUGUGUUGAUCAGGAUUCCCUUGGCCUUUCUGUAUCCACGAGCACAUUGUAGGAAUCUAUGCAUCCAGAGAGGUUUGUCCACUAAGACGAUAGGCAAGACUGAUGGUGGAAUAGGAUUGGCAAAACUUGGGAAUGACAGGGCAGAUUUUGAAUCUGAGAACUCGGAGACGUCCUGGUUGUGAUCAUCUUGAAGGCUUUGAAAAUGGAGCAUGAGGCCGAGAAAUGCUGCACCUGACGUGAAGAAAACAUAGCUAGGAAUCCCAAAUUCAUCAGCUACAUCAAUAAUGCUGGUAGAAAACAUGUCGACAACU
rnacentral:lncRNA from 1 species